rnacentral:lncRNA from 1 species
UGUUGUAUACUUUCGUAAUAGUUUUUCUUAGUAGAUAUAUUUACAUUUUAAUCGAGUCAAAUUGUUCAUUUUAAUAUUGUCAUGAAUUGCUCAACAAUAAAAAUACAUAAGUGCAUAUACUGGCUAGUUUUGUGUCAACUUGACACAGCUGGAGAUAUCACAGAGAACGGAGCUUCAAUUGAGGAAAUGCCUCCAUGAGAUCCAACUGUAAGGCAUUUUCUCAAUUAGUGAUCAAGGGGAAAGGCCCCUUGUGGGGGGAACAUCUCUGGGCUGGUAGUCUUGGUUCUAUAAGAGAGCAGGCUGAGCAAGCCAGGGGAAGCAUGCCAGUAAAGAACAUCCCUCCAUGGCCUCUGCAUCAGCUGCUGCUUCCUGACCUGUUUGAGUUCUAGUCCUGACUUCCUUGGUGAUAAACAGCAGUAUGGAAUAGUAAGCUGAAUGAACCCUUUCCUCCCCAACUUGCUUCUUGGUCAUGAUGUUUGUGCAGGAAUAGAAACCCUGACUAAGACAGUACAUUAGAAAAUAUUUCAGGGAAAACAGCAUAGAAUAUACUUAUACAGCUUACUACACACCUACAUUAUAUGGUAUGGGUUUAUGCUUGUAGGUAUGAGUGUAUAUGUACAUAGAUGUAUGUGUGUGUGUGUGUCUGUGUGUGUAUGUGUGUGUCUGUGUGUGUGUCUGUGUGUGUGUGUGAUGUACUGUAUAUGGAAUAAUCUAUUAGCCUAGGGCCACAGUAUGGAAACAACACAAAUUUAAAGCAAGAACAAAAGAAAAUGGUACAAACCAGAGACUUUAUAAACAUUAUCUAUAUGAGCAUACUGUUUUCCAGAAAACUUUCUUUUAGCAUAUGACACGAUAUACUUGCAAAUAUGAGUAGUAAAUAUAUUACACAUAUAAUCAAUAGCAAAGUCAUUUAUUUUUGAAUAUUGUACAAUAUGCUUAGCUUCCUGUGCUCCAUCCAUUUCAUGUAAUGGACAGAACAACAUAUUUACUGACAUAGGAAGCAUUACAAAGACAUAAGUAAUGUGUCCAUUGAGAUGUUACAGUGGCUAUCUCCCUAAGUGACAGAGAUCGUUCUACUCCAUUAUAAUCCUAUGGAACCACUGUAAGAAACCUCACAAGAUUUCAUAACUUUCUGCUUCUUAUUCAGGCUAUAUGUGACCAUCACUGUCUGGAAGCAGAGUAGCUGUGAAGGUCCACUUGACACUGUCCUGAGAUCAUGUCUGUGAAGAUUACCCUAUGAAGGAAAAGAGGAAGUUCAUUAAGACUGUCCUAGCUAUAGUUGUUAUUUCUGUGAUGAAACAUCAUGACCAAAACAACUUGGGAAGGAAAGUGUUUAUUUGGCUUACAUUUCCAAAUCACUGAUUGUCAUUGAAGGAAGUCAGAAUAUACACUCAACAGGGUAGGAACCUGGUGGCAGGAGCUGAUGUAGAGGCCAUGAAAAAAAUCCUGCUUACUGGCUAGUUCAUCAUGGCUUACUCAGCCUGCUUUCUCAUAGAACCUAGGAUGACCAAGUGCCUUGGGAUGGUAUCACGCACAAUGGACUGAACCUCCAAUCAAUCACUAGUCAAGAAAAUACCCCACAGCAGGAUCUUAUGGAGGUAUCUCAUUUGAAAUUUCCUUUUUUUCAGAUGACUCAAACUGUGUUAAAUUGACGUAAAGCUUGCCAGGAUACAAGAUUCACAAGGCUCCCAAUAUCCUUACAAGGCCCUUCCACAUCACAUAUUCCAAUCACAACUCUACAAAAAUGAAACAGUUACUGGGUUAUCAGUUCUCAUUGUUAUUGAAACACAGUGACACGCACGUGUGCAUGCACAAGCGCGCACGCGCACACACACACACACUUUUUUGCAUUAUACUUUGUUUAGCUUUGAUACUUAUAUCAAUGAUCUAUGUUGGAUUAAUUUUUUGUAGAGUGUGGAACAGACUUGUAGAAGAAUAAAAUUCUAAGAUUCUUCAGGCUGUAUUGUAAUUGAGUCAUGGGUAAGAUUAAGUGAAAACUGGAGAUAUGACUUAGAGGAAUGGCUUCAUGGAGGUAAUGUGAAUUACAAUGGAAAUGUAUAAUGAUCAGAUCAUGGGGUGGAACAUUUUAAGACAAAGUCAUGGAGAAUGAAAUAGAAUAGUGUAGAUGAGAGACUUGGUGAGCUUAGCAAAUCAUUGUGUCUAUGAGGUAUGGUGAGGAAAGGGAAAGCCAGUGAGGAAGGCAUUUAAAGACACAGAAUAUCAGAUGUUGCCAUCUUUCUUUACUUUAACUUUCUCAUGAAAAUCUAUCCAGCCCCACCUGUCUGCAGAUUUACUGUUUUAGCUUAACCUUCAACAAAUAUCACAGCAUGCUGGUUCCUCAUUUUCUCACAAUUUCUCUCCACAUUCCUCCUGAUGCCCCUCAGCUAUGUAGUGGAUAUUGAACCUUCCUAUCUCCCAGAGAAGUUCUAGGCAGGAAAGCUCUCUCUGGCUGCUGAGGCUAGAACUAGCAAACAUCUCACCCAGCUCUUCUCAGAAUCAGCAUGAAGUGUAAUGUAAGAAACUAAAUAUAUUCUGAGCUGUUGCUGUGCCUUCCCAGAUUAAUCAGCUGGCUAAACAAAAUUAAGUUUGUUCCUUUGUUUCUGGAAGGGCACAGCAGAAGUGGAGAAGAUUCUGUGUGUACAAAAAAUAAAAUAAAAAAAUAAAACCACAAGAUUUUUCAGUCUCUUAAUUUGCAGAACUUUAUUUUUAAAAAGGCAUAUAUAAAGAGAGAAAGCAUUCAGGCUGUAUGCUGGCAACCGAUUUAGUAUUCAUUUUAAAUGAUUUGUAUGAGAUUCAAGACUUUCCUGUAAAUUUUCUCAUGAUUUAUUUCAUCAGCUAGCUCUUCACUUGCACUGAAUGUAUUUAUAUCCAUGCAAAUAGAUCAGCAGAGAUGCUGCUUUGUGACACGAGGUGGGGUUCUUUAUAAAAUUCUAAUGAUACUUGAAGAGAAGUGUAAUGAAGGUCAGACAAGGCAGAAAGGAGGAAAGGGGUGCAUCCAGAGGGGCAGGAGCAAGGAGUGGGGAGAAAGCAACUGGGGUUGUCAGAGAAACUGUAAGCUUGCUCACACUGAGUGAACCUAUCUUUUGUUUGCUUAGCAGGCUGCAUUCCAUGGCACAGGACACUGCUUAUGC